GUAGGUUAUUAGAUUAAGUUAACAUAUCAACAUCACACAACUAAGACCAUGAUCAAACUAACAAACCAAUCAUGGGAUUCACAUAAGAAACAUGUACUAAAUAUACAAAACAUGCUGGUCAUUGACAAGUAAAGCAUAACUUAACACGUAGAGGGAAUUCAGGAUCCUAAUUACAUGUUGAACAACAAAAUAGUAAAUAAAAGCAUAUCAGAAAUACAACGAAUUGUAACACUAAUAGAAACAUAUUUGUUGAGGACUGAAAUCUGGAUUAGAACAUAGCAGUGAAGUGAAGAAAGCAAAACAUAAAGCAUAAAUAGGAGAGGUACAAUAGUUAGCUUUGGCUUGCUACCGGCUAGCUUAGAAUAGUAGCAAGCAGCACAGAAGAGAGAAUAUGGAGUUUUAGCUGUGAGAGAGAGAGAGUUGAAUAGAUUUUUGUUCGUGUCUGUAAUGAAAAGAGAAGAGGGUAUAUGUAAUAGUUUGAAAGUCAGGUCAAUAAGGCAAGAAGCAAUUAUAGAACUACAUAACCAAUUAAGAUCCAAAAAUCAGCCAAGUCUCUCUUAAUUAAGGAAGUAAUUUACUAAUGGUAGAAUUCAGGUGACAAAUAAGGAAGGAGAUCAUAUAAGAGUGGAAUAUAACACAUAAGGAAAUAAGCAUAGUAAAAGGCAUGUAAUAGAGGCUAGGUUCGACAAAUUCUAGUUAAGGAAAAUGUCUAAGAAUUAAUUUGACAAUAUAAUCAACCACAAAAUAAGGCAAGAAAAUAUUUAGAGGAUGAAAAUAAGUAGGGAACGGAGUAUACCAAUCACAGGGAAUCGGGGAUUCCAUUAAACGUAAUACUGACCAAGGGAAAGUAUCACAACUGAACGAAACAAAUAUAACACAAACAAGAGUAGGGUAAAAGAAUCACAUAAAUCCGAGAUUCAAAGUAAAGGAUGGUACUGAUGAGAGUAAAUAACCACAAAUUAUUUGGGAAUAAACACAUAAUAGGCACGAAUUGUCAAAAAAAAACGUAACAAGCAAACAUAGGGUAAUCAGAGAAUCACAGAAUAUUCAUGAGAAACAUAUAGACUAGUUGAACAUAUUAUCAACAAUACACUCACAAACCCAGG
rnacentral:lncRNA from 1 species